UGGGUGGUGCUCGCGUCCUCCACGGUGCCCUUCUUCACCAUAUCAGAGCGCUUUUGCAAACGCUGCAAGCAAUCAUAAACAGAUAAAGAGAGAAGAAAGACAGGAAUUACAAAUACGAGCACAACAACAAUCAAAGGUUUAUUUGAAUUCAAUACAAAUUAUUCAAGGCAAUGAAAAACUAAUUUAAAAUUGAUUUAUGUACAAAUUUGAGCGCAGUUAUUUAAUGCACCUACAGGCGAAGCAAGUCAAAGCGAGUAAAGUGUAAAAUGG